UUAACACAAAUUUGUAUGGAGUUGGAACAGCGCCCCUAGCGGCAAACGUAGGCAAACAUUCCAACUCCAUACAAAUUUGAGUUA
rnacentral:pre_miRNA from 1 species